CUGCGGUGUCCCCAGCUUCCCCCCCAACCUCUCAGCCAGGGUGGUGGGAGGGGACAAUGCCGUUCCCCACAGCUGGCCCUGGCAGAUCUCUCUCCAGUACCUCAAGGAUGACACUUGGAGACACACCUGCGGUGGCACCUUGAUCUCCAGCAACUUUGUCCUCACGGCUGCCCACUGCAUCAGCAACACCCUGACCUACCGCGUGGCCCUGGGGAAGCACAACCUGACAGUGGAUGAGGAGGGCUCCCUGUUCGUGGGCGU